CAUUAGUUGCUACGAAAGGGCACUCUAAUGAGACUGCCGGUGACAAACCGGAGGAAGGUGGGGAUGACGUCAACCUCUUCAUGGCCCUUAUGGGUAGGGCUUCACACGUCAUACAAUGGUACAUACAGAGGGCCGCCAACCCGCGAGGGGGAGCUAAUCCCAGAAAGUGUAUCGUAGUCCGGAUUGGAGUCUGCAACUCGACUCCAUGAAGUUGGAAUCGCUAGUAAUCGCGGAUCAGCAUGUCGCGGUGAAUACGUUCCCGGGUCUUGUACACACCG
rnacentral:rRNA from 1 species